GGUAAAGCUGUACAGCUGCAGCUGAGAAACUAGUGAGAGGUCCCACCGGAGGUGGCAGCUGCUCUGCGAACGCCUACAGUGUGGCCUACUAGAUUAAAUCUAGAGGGGAAAAAUGAAGAAGAAAUGAAGAUGAUGAUGAUGGCAAUGAUAAUGAUGCGUUUAGGUAAGUUA
rnacentral:lncRNA from 1 species